UACGUAGGUGGCAAGCGUUGUCCGGAAUUAUUGGGCGUAAAGCGCGCGCAGGCGGUCCUUUAAGUCUGAUGUGAAAGCCCACGGCUCAACCGUGGAGGGUCAUUGGAAACUGGGGGACUUGAGUGCAGGAGAGAAGAGUGGAAUUCCACGUGUAGCGGUGGAAUGCGCAGAUAUCAGGAGGAACACCAAUAGCGAAGGCAGCUCGCUGGGACGGUACUGACGCUAAGGCGCGAAAGCGUGGGGAGCGAACAGG
rnacentral:rRNA from 1 species